CCCGCGUGGUGAAGAAGGCCUGAGGGUUGUAAAGCACUUUCAGUGGGGAGGAGGGUUGAUAGGUUAAGAGNUGAUUAACUGGACGUUACCCACAGAAGAAGCACCGGCUAACUCCGUGCCAGCAGCCGCGGUAAUACGGAGGGUGCGAGCGUUAAUCGGAAUUACUGGGCGUAAAGGGUGCGUAGGUGGUUGAUUAAGUUAUCUGUGAAAUUCCUGGGCUUA
rnacentral:rRNA from 1 species